rnacentral:rRNA from 1 species
CCUACGGGUGGCAGCAGUGAGGAAUAUUGGUCAAUGGGCGCUAGCCUGAACCAGCAAAGCCGCGUGAAGGAAGACUGCCCUCUGGGUUGUAAACUUCUUUUAUAUGGGAAUAAAGUGUAGUAUGUAUACUGCUUUGCAUGUCCCUUAUGAAUAAGGAUCGGCUAACUCCGUGCCAGAAGCCGCGGUAAUACGGAGGAUCCGAGCGUUAUACGGAUUUAUUGGGUGUAAAGGGAGCGUAGGCGGGUUGUUAAGUCAGUUGUGAAAGUUUGCGGCUCAACCGUAAAAUUGCAGUUGAUACUGGCAUCCUUGAGUACAGUAGAGGUAGACGGAAUUCGUGGUGUAGCGGUGAAAUGCGUAGAUAUCAGGAAGAACUCCGAGUGCGAAGGCAGCCUGCUGGACUGUAACUGACGCUGAUGCGCGAAAGUGUGGGUAUCAAACAGGAUUAGAUACCCGAGUAGUC